AUAGAAUAUUCAAAAUGAAUACCAGUUUGAACUUAACUUUUUUAUUCAUCACUCAGAAUAAUUAAUUCUGAUAAAUUAAUACCAGUUGUUUAGGUACGGAUUGCUAUAUUUUGCUGAUGUUAACUUUAGGGAAGGAAAAAUCAUCUGUUACUCUUAAUUAUAUUGUUUGUUAGGUAACAUUUAGAACAACCAAGAACUUUUGAGCUAAUGCCAGAGACUAAAAAAUGCCAGAGUGUGAAACAGAGAGGAAGUCCUAUGGGCAUUUGAUGUAGAUAUUUUCACAUAAUAGAUUUACUCCUGAGAAAUCAUAUGGAUUAUAUUUUAAAAGCAUUAGGGAUUUCCAUAUGUCUGGUCCUUGACUUCAGUGCGUUGGACCUUUACAUAACUUUUACUUUUAUAUAUUGGUACCUCUAAAUGAUCUUUCAUAAAAGUCAAAUUUAGGCUUUCAAACUUCAGCU